rnacentral:rRNA from 1 species
UACGUAGGGGGCUAGCGUUGUCCGGAUUUAUUGGGCGUAAAGAGCUCGUAGGCGGCUUGUCGCGUCGUUCGUGAAAACCCGGGGCUCAACUCCGGGCUUGCGGGCGAUACGGGCAGGCUAGAGUUCGGUAGGGGAGACUGGAAUUCCUGGUGUAGCGGUGAAAUGCGCAGAUAUCAGGAGGAACACCGGUGGCGAAGGCGGGUCUCUGGGCCGAUACUGACGCUGAGGAGCGAAAGCGUGGGGAGCGAACAGG